UACGUAUGGGGCGAGCGUUGUUCGGAAUUAUUGGGCGUAAAGGGCGCUCAGGCGGGGAGUUAAGUUAGAUGUGAAAGCCAUGGGCUCAACCCGUGAAAUGCAUCUAAAACUGAUUCUCUUGAGUUCGAGAGAGGAGAGCGGAAUUCCCGGUGUAGCGGUGAAAUGCGUAGAUAUCGGGAAGAACACCAGUGGCGAAGGCGGCUCUCUGGCUUAGAACUGACGCUGAAGCGCGAAAGCGUGGGUAG
rnacentral:rRNA from 1 species